GAUCCACCCUGAGGAGGUACGGGUCAACAUCCUGUUUCCGGCAAGCCCUCCUGGAGGCCACACAGAGGGGUGUUUGUUCGCAGUGGGCGGCGGGAGAGAUGCUAAUCGCGGUGGAUCGCUGGUCCCAGCUGAAGGUCAGGAGCCUCCAUCUUGCUUCCAGACCUAGAACUUCCGGCUCACCAUGCACCUCCAGCUCAAGGCAGAGCCAGGCCGCGAGUCAGCCAGCACCCCAGAUUCAGCACUGGUUAUCCAGAUGGCCUGAAUGGUUUAUUGCAAUGGGGAGAUGGGAAGGAGGGAGGGUUCGGACUGUUGCAGGGAGGUGGGGUUGAGAGUCAGCCCUCUGGAGGAGACAGCCUGGAUGGGGAGGUGGAACCCACAGACCGGACCUUUGCCCUCCAUCCCAAAGGUUAAGCAGAACUGGGGUUUUUACUAUUUGCUUAUUGUAGCGGUUGGGGACUGAACCCGGGGCCUCACAGAAAAAGGGCAGGCACUCUGCCUAUGAGGUACAUAGUAUCAGCUAAGUUACCCAGGCUGGCUUUGAACUUGCUAUGUAGGUUAAGCAGGCCUUGAACUUUUGGUCUUUCAUCAGCCUCUGGGCUGCUGGUCUCACCAACCUGUUCCCCCACAGCCAGCCAACAGCGUGCUUUUCUAGCUCUCUGGGUCUCCUAGCUUUUGAGCACAGGAAACCAGAGGGCGGGGAAGGAGGGUUGACUCGAAGACCUGGGUGGAGGUGUGGUCGGCUGAGAUCUGGGGGAUUUCUUUCCCUUCUUUCAUGCAUGUGAAUCCACUUUUGAGGAUUUCUGGAAGCCAAGUCAGUUAGACUUGAGAACUGAGCCAGUCCUGGGAGCCCUAAGAGGGGAGAGAAGUUUGUUCGUGCGUUCAUUGAUUCAUUGAUUGAUUCAUUCAUUCAUUCACCCUUUCAUUCACUGUUCGUUCAAGUGUAGGUGGACCUGCCCUGACACAUUUCCACGCCUGAGCCCUGUUAAAGUAUGAAGAAAGUCAAAGACUGGCUGCCCUCCAGGUUCUCCUCCCUGUCCAGUGGCUGAGAUGUGCUCCUCGGGUUGGACUCAGGCUGAGCAGCUCCUAUAGGCCUAAAGCCUGUAGCCCGGGGAUGCCCAGGACAGCAGAACAGACUUUCAGAUCCGCCCUCUCCUCCUCGGGACUACCUCACCAUCUACACUUGGAUUAGUAAUGGGAUGGUCAAGCCGAGUCUGCUCAGAGUCAGCCCUGACCUGCCAGUCCUCUAGGCUCCUUCCUAGUUGGCUAACCACAGUCACCUCCUUCCACAAAGUUAGGCAAAACCCUGAUCGUCACCAUUGCUCAUCGAGUAUCUAUGCCAGAAAAAUGGAGGGGGAGGGGGAGGAGGAAAGAAGAAAAAAAUUAAAAUAACAAAAAAGCGCAUUCGCACGGAAGAAUGUGUGGUUUUUUAGAUUCUUUAUUAAUUUAAUUAUAUACAGGUGCCCAGAGGCCAGAGGAAUUGGAUCUGCCAGGAGGAGCUAGAGUUCAGGCGGCUGUGACCCACCUGAUGUGGUUCUUGAGACUCGAACUUGAGUCUGAAAGAAUAGUACAUACUCUAAACUGCUGAGCCAUCUCUCCAGCCCCCCAGGAGCCCCUCUUCCCACCUGAUCCCAGCCAGCAUUGUCACUCACUGGAUGUGCAUCCUAGCAACAACCCUCACCUAGCAUCCACCAUCAUCCUAGCCUCCGCCCUCAUCCUAGCAUCCACCAUCAUCCUAGCCUCUGCCCUCAGCCUAGCAUCCACCAUCAUCCUAGCCUCCGCCCUCAUCCUAGCAUCCACCCUCAUCCUAGCCUCCACCCUCAGCCUAGCCUCCACCCUCAGCCUAGCAUCCACCAUCAUCCUAGCCUCCGCCCUCAUCCUAGCAUCUGCCCUCAUCCUAGCAUCCGCCCUCAUCCUAGCAUCCACCAUCAUCCUAGCAUCUGCCCUCAUCCUAGCAUCCGCCAUCAUCCUAGCAUCCGCCAUCAUCCUAGCAUCCGCCCUCAGCCUAGCAUCCACCAUCAUCCUAGCCUCCGCCCUCAUCCUAGCAUCCGCCCUCAUCCUAGCGUCUGCCCUCAUACUUUCCCGCUGUUCCUGGCACCCUAGCCAGAGUGAUUUUAUUAAGACGGGACUCUGAUGGUGCCAUUUGCCUGGUUUCCCUGUCCUUGUCCUUCUGAGGGAAAGCUGAAGUCUUUGUGAUGGCCUUCUUUGUUGUUCUGUUUUGUUUUUGUUGUCAUUGUUUUGUUGUUGAGAUGGCCUUUUACCAUCGACACUGCCCCACCUCAUUGCCUACACUGCUGUUUUUUUUCCGUUCUUUGAUUACACAGCCCAUGCACCUGCCUCAGGGCCUUUGCACUGACACCCCCAUGCUUUGCUCCUCAGGCCUUCUACCUUAUCCAGGUCCUUAUUCAGGACCUCCAUGUUCAAAACCGGAGAUCACUGCUGUACCUGGAUCUUGCUUUCUAAUACUAUUCUGUAAUGAAAGGACUCAUGGCCUCUCCAAGAAAUGGCCACAAGAAGACCCACAGAGUCAGCUAACCUGGUAUCAUGGGGGCUUACAGAGCCUGGGCUACCAACCAGGGGGCAUGAAGGAGCCAGAUCUAGAUCCCCUACACAUCUGUGGCAAAUGUCUAACAAGUGGAGGAGGGGAGCGGUCUUGGUCUCUGUCCCCUUCCCCCUUCCAGGUCCCCUGGACUGCCUGUUGGACCUGCUGGGACUAGAUACCCCAGGCUGGGGUAGUACCCAAGGGGGGCUCCCCUUCUCUAAGUUAAAGAGGGGGCAGCAGGGAGAGGGAUUUGUAAGGGUGGGGCUGGGAAGAGAGGAGGGAGGAGUGCCGUGAUCGGAAAGCAAAGUGAAUUAAGGAAAUGAAUGAAUGAUUGAGUGAUUGAAUGAAUGGAUGGCUGCUCCUUGGACUUGGGUGGAAUGAGCCUGGAACUUCUCAAAGCAUCAGAAAGGAAGGACUGAAGGCAGGAGCCACAGGAAUGUGGGUGUGUCAAACCAUGCCGGAGCAACUGCUCAGCGCAGCGAAUGGGACUGGACUAUAGCCCAGGGGUAAAACACAUUUACCAGCCUGUGACAAAUAAGUGACGGAAUAAACCAAUCAGUGGGAGAGAAGAGCCAAGGCGUCACGGGACGCGAUAUGUCGGGCUCCUCAGCAGAGCCCUCACAGCAUGCAGCAGCCAAGGGCCAGGCCAUCAGCAGCUGGGUCAAGUUGGCAGUGUGGCACUGCCCCUUUGUCACCUGGCUCCUCGGGGCUCACAACCUGUGAGAAACCAGCAGAUGAUUGACUGAUUGAUUAAUUGAUUGAUUGAUUGAUUGAUUGAUUGAUUGAUUCGUUGUUUUUUGGUAUUUUAAGACAGGUUUUUCUGUAGCCCUGGCUGGCUUUGAACUUACUAUAUAACUGAGGAUGGCCUUGAACUCCUGAUUCUUCCUGCCUCCACCUCUGGGUGCUGGAAUUAUGGGGUUCUGCUAUGACACCCAGCAGGCAAAUUCUAAUUCUAGGAUAUCUACAAAAUACCUGACCGGGACCCCUCAAAAUACUAGAGUCAUCAAGAGCUCGGGAUAUGCGAGAGCUGCUGUGGCCAAGAGAAGCCUCUGGAGAGAAGACAGUGGCAUGGAAUUCGACUGUGGGGGGGUCCUGGAGCAGAAAGGGAUCAGGUGAACAAAGGAAGUCUGGUGAAACAACUGUAGAAGUUUCUGUGGGUAAUAAUUACUGUUGGCUGUGGCGACACUCACUGGAACCCUGACACCCAGGAGGCUGAGGCAGAAGGAUGCUAAGUUUGAGACCAGCUUGGGCUACGUAGACUCUGGUUCGAAGAACAACCACCUCCACCACCACUCAUGGCAAUAAAUGUCCGAUGUCCUGGAUAGAGAAGCUGAUGGGGGAGUCUUGGUACAGUUCUAAUUUGUAUAUGAAUCUACAACUCCUCCGAAAUGCAUUCUGGUGUUUGUGUUUCUAAAUCAUGGUCUCUAACAUGGGCACAGGGAGGCAUACCAGUAAUCCAGCCCUCACGAGGCAGAUACCAAAAGAUCAUGAGUUCGAGGCUAGCUUAACCUACAUAGUGGGAGCCCAUCCCCCAAAAAAGUAAAUAAGACCCCGCUAGGCGCCUCUAGAGGGUGAAGCAUUCAGGACCGCCUGACAGGCCCAGAAUUUCCUUCCCUGGAACUCAUGUAAAGCUGCAAGGAGAGAAGUGACUCUCGUUCUCUGACCUUCCCAGGCAUAGCAAGGAAUGGGCAUCCCCCACCCCCACCCCCAUAUACACGUACAAUAAUGAUAAAGCAAAUAUUUUAAAAGCAAGUAAAUAAAAGCAACCAGAAAGCAACCAUCGCCCGAGCUGCCGCGCCCCUCCCUGGCUUUUUCCAUUUGUACCUUUGGCCAUUUAAACUGCUGUACACUGACCUCACAAAGUCUGUGACCUGUACCCCGUCCGUCUCUGGGAUUUAAACUCUAUUAUAAAGGCUUCUGCCUGUCCGCUGCUGUGUGCCCAGAACCUCAAUCAGUCUGACAAUAAAUAUUUGUUGAAUGA